rnacentral:rRNA from 1 species
GCGGCUAUGCCUCUAAGUCGUGCCCCGACACGUGGGAGAUAUAGCCGCAUUGUGGGUGUUACAAACCGGGACUAUGAAGCCGAUUUAGUAGGCCUGAGGAAGGAGCGAUACGAGGCUAACCUUAGCCAGAAAGAAUGUCAAAUCGCCGACCUUCAGGAAAAUAUUAAGUCCCAGCAAGCUGUAACCUCCAAGGCUAAAGAGGAGCUGACUGACGCUUUAGCAGCCAUGGAACAACUGAAAGAAGGCUUCAACAGUGAACGGGCGACAUGGGAUGCUGAAAAAACAACUCUGCUAAAGCAGGCGGAGGAUGCUGAAGCAACUCUUAAACCGGUAACAGAAGAGUUG